UUCUAAUCUUCGAUAGAACCCAAAGACACUCUAAACAUGUUCAAUUAUGUACAAUUUUAAAUUACAGAAUAUCAUAUAAAAAGUUUUUAUUUCGAUAAAACACAGGUACCAAAUAAUAUUUUUAAUUUGUGUGUGUGAAUGGAGCUGGAGGGAGAAGGAAGAGAAGGGAUUCUUUAGAUCAAUUGGUUAUGCAUGGCUUGAGGUCCUUACAGGAAAUCAAAUCCUUGUUUCCUGCCUGUAGUAAUCCUACUACACAAGACUCAACAAUUUAAAGGUUGAUCAAACACAAAUUAAAGAAAAACACAAGCUGAAAUCAAACAUAAUGCAACAACAGAAAAGCAAAAAACAAGAGAACAAAGAGAAUUUAUCCUGGUUCGGUCCUCAAUUCAAGGCCUACUCCAGCUCUCCCCCAAGGAGUUUUCUCCACUAUAAUCAAGCUGAUUACAAUCUCCAAUAGUUGUAGUGUACACCUCUUGAAACAACACAGAAAGAAAUCCCCAAGAACUCUCACACUCGAGCUCACAAAGCCAUACAAUGGCUAUCACAAUUUCUCUCUUUCUCUCUCUGUUUCACUCUCCCAAAAACACUACUCCUAAUCUCUAUAUUUGUUCUAACCUUUAUAAUGAAUAGGUUAGAGCCAUAAAUAGAGUUACAAUAUGAGCUAACUAACUGAAAUGACAAUCCCAAGGUGUACAACUACAAAAAACUGAUUAGUAACUAACUUAACAGAAAUUGACAAAAGCUGUUAAGUUAUUAUAACAGAUUUGAUUUUCUUUGGAUUACCAAUCCUACAAAUUCCACCUUAAUCCAAAGAAAAACAAACUAGAGAACAUCACAAGGGGGAGUGGACCACCAUCUUCAACCUGGUCCAAUGUUAAGCAGUUCCAAACAAUGUUGGAAUCUGCCUAUGGAGAGAGCUUUGGUCCCUGCAUCAGCAGGAUUCUCUUCACUGGGUACCUUUUCAAGCUCUAUUUCUCCUUCUUCUAUCUUGUCUCUGAUCCAAAACAUUCUUAUGUCAAUAUGUUUUGAUCUUUCAUGGUAGACAGGGUUUUUGCUCAAGUGUAUUGCAGAUUGACUAUCUGAAUACACAGUUGCCUUGCCUUUCAUCAAACUCAGUUCCUUCAGAAUUCCUUUGAUCCAAACAACUUCCUUGAAUGCUAUAAGAGGGAUGACGAGUUACUCAUCUUAAAUAUGAAAAGAAACAUCGAAUUUGAAGAAAAAUAAGACAUGAUCUCAUCUUAUAAGCAAUUGUAAAAAAAAAAAAAGUAUUGAAGAAAAGGAAGAGAAAUACUUCAUCAAAAAAAUUAGAAGAAGAAUUAACUAUAAUUUUAGUAACAUAAGUAACCGGUUACCAUAAAAACUUAUAAAUAUACAUAUAUAUCAAAACAUGGAGGUAACCAGUUACCUAUCACAUAUUUAAAGUUAAAAAAAAAGCAUAUCUAAAGAAAACAAACGGGAUUUGAUCUGCAACAAAUCAAGAAGAAAACAUAUUUGUAACAAUAUAAGUAAUCGUUUAGUAUUAAUAGAAAGGUUUUCAAAGAAGUGAAACGAGAGAACCAGUCAAGAUAAUCAACAAACACACCAUCUUUAGAAGAAGAGAAUGAAAGAUCUAGAUAGUGCAAUUUGGUAAGAUUUCCAAGCUCGGGAGGAAUAGUUCCACUAAUUGAAUCACCUGAUAAAAGGUUGAGUUGUGUAAGAUAUUUGAAAGAAGCAAUACACUUGGGAAUUCGAGUAAAGUCAUUCCCAACUAGACUCAAGUAAUUCAAAUUCUGCAGCCAAUCUCACCACUU